CUGUCCGUCUUUACGGCGCUCUGCUGCCUGCAGCACAAACCGCCCACAGGAGCCCGCAGGGUGGACGUGUAGUCCAGGAGAGGAGGGUUGCAGGUUUGAAUCCCAGGGGGAGAUCUGACAAAUAACCGGUUGGACAGCAGAAGAGAAGAGAAGUGAAGACUCGUCCCUGCUGUUUCCUGCUGCACUGGAGCUGGUUUUUAACUGGCCGACGCGAGAAACUCCUCCAGAGUCCGUAGCGAUCAGGAAUCUUUCUGUCAAAAUCAAGAUGCAUUCUGAUAAUAACACAGAUAACAAAGAACGAAGCAGGACAGGGACCGUCUCCGUACCCAGAGACCGAGACUCCGGUAUAAACGGAUUCCAGCAGGAGUAAUGUGCACGUUCCUGACACCAGUAACACCAGUGUGACUCUUUAACUCUGCAGCUCUUACCUGCAGAAAAUGUGAGUAACGUUUAUUUUCUAUUGUGAGAGUUUAAAUGAUUUUUCAUGAAAAGGUUCAGGUAUAUCUCCGCAGCAGCCAGUUCACGCUGUUCACUACAGGUUUGUCAACAGGAACAUAUCCGCUUCCUGUUUUUAAAGUGGUUUUUUUAAAAUUUGCUUUGAGGUUUUAAAAACAUUAAUAAAUGUAAAAGACUUUUUAUAUUGACGUGUACUGAAUUACCUUUUAUUGUCCUGUAGUAAUAGCCGAUGUAAAAAAGCUCUGAUAACAUAGUAACAUAGGUUCAAAUAUGUCCAUGGCACCCAGUUAACAUUGUUUUCUUGAACAUGAAGACGAUCUGAAUAAUUUGA